rnacentral:misc_RNA from 1 species
CUGAACGCCUCUAAGUCAGAAUCCAUGCCAGAACGCGGUGAUACCACCCGCACGUAUAGAUGGACAAGAAUAGGCUUCGGCUUAGCGUCUUAGCAGGCGAUUCUUCCACGGCGCUCGAAGCGCGUCGUGGUAUUUCGCGUAUUGUAAUUUCAACACGAGCGGGGUCAAAUCCUUUGCAGACGACUUAGCUGUGCGAAACGGUCCUGUAAGCAGUAGAGUAGCCUUGUUGUUACGAUCUGCUGAGGGUAAGCCGUCCUUCGCCUCGAUUUCCCCAAUGGGUUCUCCGGAUUUCUGGAGACUUGUAGGGGUUGUGGGUUUUUUCGAUGUGUCGUCUCCGGACGGGCGGUGCAGGGUAGUCGAGUUAGACUUGGUGGAAUUCGAUUCCGUCGAGUAUGGCUGGCACGAUCGUGUGCGGUUGUGUGUUGGACGGUGCAGGGUAGGCUGCUUGGACAUGGUCGGUUCGAGGAUCGAUUCGAGGGCCGGCCUGUCGAUGAUGUGUGAUGUAUGCGGUCUAGGGUAGGCUGGUUUGUCUUGGUCCAAUUUGAUGUCGGCUCCCGUGCAGGCUAGAGUGAGGGGGGUCCAGGGUAGGUACAGGGUAGGCAGCUUAGAUUUGGUCGAUCUGGAGGUCGAUUCUCCGGCUGGUGGAUCUGACCCUGUCGAAACGAGAUGCGAGCGGUGUAGGGUAGGCUAGUUUCGUCCUCGCCAGGUUGCGAUUUGGACGAGAUAUGUGGUCUAGGGUAGGCUCUAGGGUAAGUAGAAUUCGAGUUUCGUCGCCGACAGUUUUCUGUGGGUGUAUGGUAGGUACAGGGUAGGCAAAACUCUCUCCGGCCAGUACUUGUCUGGUGGUCGUGAGUCGAUUUUUUUGUUUUGCCAUACUAUUGAAUUUUGCGGAAAUUCAAAAGUGGCUCGGGAGUCCCGCCUGGCGUGCGUCCGACUCGAACAUCGUCGGUGUACAUAUGAGAGGGAGUAAUCCGGCCCGGCCGGGGCCCAUCGCGAGCUGCCGGGUAGGUAAAAGUAAAAAAGUUGUUAAGAGGCGCGGUGUCGGCGUGCUUGUAUUUGCGGGAGAGAAUUAUCUGGAGGUGCUGGGUAGCCGGGAAGACUUGGACGGAUCUGGCCCGGGAAUGGGUCUGGGCCUGGAUUCUGGUGUGGUGUAGGAUAGGCGUAGAUAGAUGAGUGGUCUAGGGUAGAUACAGGGUAGCCAGAAGUCUGGUAUAUAGUGUGGGGGGUGUAGGGUAGGUCUGGACACCGUUUUCCACUUCGCCCUUCCCUUUACUCGAGGGAGGACGAUCUUGGCUGGGAUGGAGGUGUAGGGUAGGCUUAAUUUACGAUUACAUGAUCUGUGUCACUCUAGGGUAGGUGAAAAUCCCAUAUAUAUCUGAUCACAUUUGGAGAAGAGGUGGUUUGGCUGGUGAGAUGGACAAAAGUGCAAUGUAGAAUUAUAUGUGAUUUUGCAAAAGUGGGUGUGAAAUUGGGAAAUCGGUUUCCCCGCACAGAUGAGAGCACGUUUGAGGUGCCAUGAGAUGCACCUCUCCGAGACGACCUCAACGGUACCACCGAUGUGUUGGUCCGGCUCCUGUGCGGCCGUCCAGGGCGGGAUAUGUAGAGAAUGUGGUGGUGUAGGGUAGGUGGCCAGGUCCAGGGUAGGUUCUCCAAAUCCGUCAAUCCGGCUUGAAUCGAAGGACAGGUCUAGGGUAGGCCAGAGUCGGGUCUAGGGUAGGCAGCUCUCACCCUCGAAGUGGUCUACCCGGUAGUCAACUUCAAUCGCCUCUCACGGCCGCCACGGACCUCGCAUGACGACAGGACCACCACCAUCGGAUUUGCCUUGGUCGAAAUAGUCGGUAUAUGCACUUUUGCAAAAAUGCGUGCAAAAUGGUUUUGUGGUUUGGUGGUCGUGAGUCGAUUUUUUUGUUUUCCCAUACAAAUGAAUUUUGCGGAAAAUAAAAAGUGGCCCACGAAGCAGUUCUGGCGUGCGGCCCACUAAAACGGUCUCGGAGGGUAUAUGAGAAGGGAGCAAAUCCGGCCGAGCCUGAAAGGGUGAGGACAAACCGGGCGAGCAACCUCUCAGUAUCAGAUCUUGCAGACUUCCACUGCGUGUCCCUCUGUACAGCUUUGCAGGCUCCGGCCUCGGCAGCGGGGGGUUCAUAGUGGUCGUCGACCUCCACGAAACUGCACGCUCCGGCGUGACAGCGUACUGGGGAUGCCUGUGUAGAUGCAGUCCGGGCUUGCCUGGACCGCUAGCAGAUGGGCUCUGUGGAUGACUGGCCGCUGGCUAGACCUGAAACCUGAGCAACGGGAGGUAACCUCUCGCCGCGGACACCGGAAUGGUAGAAGCGGCGUGCUGCGUCCUCCUCUUGGGGCCCCUAAGCCACACCUCCCAUAGCGGGUUCGGUGCGGCGGACGGACGCCCUGGGGAAUUUAGAGGGGGAAAGCGGAUUGCCCUAGCGGUGUUGUUGGCCCUGCCGACCUCACUGCGAAAGGCGCGACUUCACCGUCGCCACCCAGUAACUUGUCUCUCCGGCGCUUCACGGCGCUGGUGGCCAACCCCGGCACACGAUAGUUACCUGGUUGAUUCUGCCAGUAGUCAUAUGCUUGUCUC